CCUACGGGAGACAGCAGUGAGGAAUAUUGGUCAAUGGACGAGAGUCUGAACCAGCCAAGUAGCGUGAAGGAUGACUGCCCUAUGGGUUGUAAACUUCUUUUAUAUGGGAAUAAAAUGUUCCACGUGUGGGAUUUUGUAUGUACCUUAUGAAUAAGGAUCGGCUAACUCCGUGCCAGCAGCCGCGGUAAUACGGAGGGUCCGAGCGUUAUCCGGAUUUAUUGGGUUUAAAGGGUGCGUAGGUGGGUUGUUAAGUCAGUUGUGAAAGUUUGCGGCUCAACCGUAGAAUUGCAGUUGAAACUGGCAGUCUAGAGUACAGUAGAGGUAGGCGGAAUGCGUGGUGUAGCGGUGAAAUGCAUAGAUAUCACGAAGAACUCCGAUUGCGAAGGCAGUUCACUGGACUGCAACUGACACUGAGGCUCGAAAGUGUGGGUAUCAAACAGGAUUAGAUACCCCGGUAGUC
rnacentral:rRNA from 1 species